rnacentral:misc_RNA from 1 species
GCAUCUGGUUGAAACUGAUAGUGUAUAUACCCCACCUCACUUAACUCGUAUCAGGGCUAUAAAAUUCAUCCAUAAAGAGUGGUCAUACCACCAGGGCCAACCAUUUUUAUCUAUUACAGAUCGAGUUGAAGUCCUGAUGGACUUGAUGAUCUCUACUAGUUACUGAGUUCAUCAGUUGCUAUAAGGUUACUCUGCAGCUAAUACUUUCUACAGGUUUUA